AAAGUCGUAACAAGGUUUCCGUAGGUGAACCUGCGGAAGGAUCACUAUGAAGUUGGGCGUCUGCUGCGGCGGCCGCCCACAUUGGCACGGGGUCCUGUCCCCUCUCCUCCUCGAUGGGGGGAGGGAGGGGCCCUGAUGUUUACGCUUGCAUGUUUGACAGAGUACAGUGGUACACGAGACAAAUGACAACUUUUAACAAUGGAUCUCUUGGCUCUU
rnacentral:misc_RNA from 1 species